AAAAAAAACAAACGAAAAAAAAAGAAACAGGAGCGAUUCUCCUGUAGCCCUAGCCGCCGCACCUCCUGCGCUCUGCCGCUGCCGCUGCUGUUCCUCUCUUCGCCGGCGCCGCCGCUGGUGCAGCCGUCGCCGGUCGCCACAACCGUCGUCGUCCGCAGCCGGUCGUUGGAAGGACGGAGAGAAGGCAGAGAAGAACAGGAAGGAAGGAAAGAAGGGGAAAUUUGAUAGAAGAAGGGAAAUUUGGGGAAUUUGGUGAAUAUUUCCAAAUUCUUCGUUUUUCUUAUACAUUAGUACUGCUAGGUACCUAAUGACAUCGAUCGGCAUGGGGCGGGAGUAGCACCCUUGGACUACACAUUAUUAUUGCACACAAUUGAAAUUAGUUUUAGACUAUAAUUUUUGCUCAGCAUAAGUUUUGCAUAGAACUUGUAAAGGUCAUUUAAGGUUCUGAUCCUUAUUUUUCACGUGGGAUUUGUGGAGCUAGGAUGGUUUGGAUUGUGUGGUUUAUAUCGGUAUUGACCUUUCUUAUAACUGCCUGUCGUGAUGUCCGUAUUUUUAGGGGAGACUCUGCCGAAAUUUCUAAUAAUUUUAGGACUUAGUUUUUGAGUGUA